AUAUCAAUAAGCGGAGGAAAAGAAACCAACAGGGAUUGCCCCAGUAACGGCGAGUGAAGCGGCAACAGCUCAAAUUUGAAAUCUGGCCCCCAGGGCCCGAGUUGUAAUUUGGAGAGGAUGCUUUUGGCGAGGCGCCGCCCGAGUUCCCUGGAACGGGACGCCGCAGAGGGUGAGAGCCCCGUCUGGCUGGCCGCCGAGCCUCUGUAAAGCUCCUUCGACGAGUCGAGUAGUUUGGGAAUGCUGCUCAAAAUGGGAGGUAUAUGUCUUCUAAAGCUAAAUACCGGCCAGAGACCGAUAGCGCACAAGUAGAGUGAUCGAAAGAUGAAAAGCACUUUGAAAAGAGGGUUAAACAGUACGUGAAAUUGUUGAAAGGGAAGCGCUCGUGACCAGACUUGGGCCUGGCGGAUCAUCCGGCGUUCUCGCCGGUGCACUUCGCCCGGCCCAGGCCAGCAUCAGUUCGCCCCGGGGGACAAAGGCGGCGGGAAUGUGGCUCCCCCGGGAGUGUUAUAGCCCGCCGCGCAAUGCCCUGGGGCGGACUGAGGUUCGCGCGUCCGCAAGGAUGCUGGCGUAAUGGUCACCAGCGACCCGUCUUGAAACACGGACCAAGGAGUCGUCCUCGUAUGCGAGUGUUCGGGUGUCAAACCCCUACGCGUAAUGAAAGUGAACGCAGGUGAGAGCUUCGGCGCAUCAUCGACCGAUCCUGAUGUUCUCGGAUGGAUUUGAGUAAGAGCAUACGGGGCCGGACCCGAAAGAAGGUGAACUAUGCCUGUAUAGGGUGAAGCCAGAGGAAACUCUGGUGGAGGCUCGCAGCGGUUCUGACGUGCAAAUCGAUCGUCAAAUAUGGGCAUGGGGGCGAAAGACUAAUCGAACCUUCUAGUAGCUGGUUUCCGC
rnacentral:rRNA from 1 species